GCAUAUCAAUAAGCGGAGGAAAAGAAACUAACAAGGAUUCCCCUAGUAACGGCGAGUGAAGCGGGAAGAGCUCAAAUUUGAAAUCUGGUAGCCUUCGGUUGCCCGAGUUGUAAUCUAGAGAAGUGUUUUCCGCGUUGGCCCAUGUACAAGUCCCUUGGAACAGGGCGUCAUAGAGGGUGAGAAUCCCGUCCUUGACAUGGACCCCCAAUGCUUUGUGAUACACUUUCAACGAGUCGAGUUGUUUGGGAAUGCAGCUCAAAAUGGGUGGUGAAUUCCAUCUAAAGCUAAAUAUUGGCGAGAGACCGAUAGCGAACAAGUACCGUGAGGGAAAGAUGAAAAGCACUUUGGAAAGAGAGUUAAACAGUACGUGAAAUUGUUGAAAGGGAAACGAUUGAAGUCAGUCAUGCUCUUUGGAUUAAGCCGUUCUGCGGUGUAUUUCAUUGAGCGGGGUCAACAUCAGUUUUGAUCGCUGGAAAAGGGCAGGAGGAAGGUAGCACUCUCGGGUGAACUUAUAGCCUCUUGUCGUAUACAGUGAUUGGGACUGAGGAACGCAGCAUGCCUUUUGGCCGGGAUUCGUCCACGUACAUGCUUAGGAUGUUGACAUAAUGGCUUUAAACGACCCGUCUUGAAACACGGACC
rnacentral:rRNA from 1 species